GGCGACAGAGUGAGACCGCAUCUCAAAAACAAACAAAUAGAAAACUGGGAACAUGUUCUUUGAGUUUUGUGAGCUGCUCUCGAAACUAAUCGAGCCCAGAAAGGGAGCCAUGGGAACCCCAGUUUGGAACUGAUCAGAAGUUCCGGAGUAGAAGCCGGGGCUUAACGGGACGGAGUUCUCAACCUGUGGAAUCCGACGCUCUCUGUCUCCAGGAAGAUAAUGUCAGAAUUGAGGUAGAGGAUGCCCGGCUGGUGUCUUCUGCAGAACUGAUGACUAGCUUGAUGUGGAGGGGCGACCCCACACGACUGAUCACGGAAGUAUCCUAUGUUGAUUGCUGUCAUAGGAGAGCAGGGGAAACACCGUUUGCGGGCUUUUUGGUUUUGUUUUAUUUGGAAUUAACAGAGACUCCUACUUUUGAACCGUGCAGCACUGAGCAAAUAAUUUCUACUCUGUAAGCAUCUGUUUCAUCGUCUGUCAAUGGGAAUCAGUGUCGCCUUCGCCACAGAGAUUACAACAUGAGGUGAAGUGAGACGACGAAUCAAACUUGACUUAUGGAGCCAAUAAAAGCCCCUUGGGAAAACAGGCCUCAUACCUUGUUUACACAGCCCCUGUACAGGGUUCGUGACCUGUGGUCAUAAAACCUUGGAAUGAUUUUCUGAACUUUCCAUGAAGCAGGUCCUAAGACCCUCAUGUAAGAAGUGCUGCCUAUAUCCACAGUACUGUAUCCACCAGAAAGGUACUUUCUUAUCUCUGAAGACUGAAGGGUUACAGAGAAAAAUCUGAACAAAUAAACCUUGCUAAAUUCUCCCCCAGUUUAUUCCCAUCUUUGUUCAACUAUAUCUCCCCACAACUGUCACUCUUCAUGAAACCCAGCAUAGAAACACACAAGUUUAACAGCUGCUCUGGGUCUUCCUUUCCUUAGGAAGGCUCCUAUGUCAUGGGAAACUUACAUGCAACAUCUAUGCUUUGCUCUUGUUAAUCUGUCUUUUAUCAUGGAGGCCUCAGCCAUGAACCUAGGAUGGGUACGGAAAAGCUAUUUUUUGUUCCCUAUAGUAAUCUCGCAUUAGGUGUCUAUUGAUUAAUUUAUCAAUUAAAUUAGGCUCAGUCAAAGUGCUGAUGCCCAGUGACACAAUGAAGAGCUGCCACCUCCAGGUUCUUAGUCAGGGCUUGCUUUGCAGUGAGGGAGAGAAACUCACUGAAGUCAGCAUAGGUAAAGGGGUGAUUGUUGCAAGGAUAUGGGGGAAUCUUGUGGACCACUAAGAACA